UUUUGAAUCCUCGUACCUAAAGUAUCAUUUUUUUGCAAUGUGAUAGCAAAAGAAGCAAAAAAAUAAAAUCUACCAGCAUUUGACGAUUUCUACCGAAAAAAAAUAGGAGCAGUCUCCCGAAAUUUUAUCCAAGACCUGUGGCAACACUACUCAAAUAUUAUAUUUUCAGAUUUAGCCAUACGACGCACACUUACUCUAAGGAUAAAAUAGGCUAUAUAAUCCCAGAUACCUACGGUAUCAAAAGGGUUGAUAGACAAUUCACGACUAUUAAUCUCACUGAUCGUUCUUUACCAUAAAGACUAACCUUUCCACCAUUAAUGGGUAGGUACUCAUGGAUUAUCUAGUAGAAUACACAUUUUUAUGUCUUUAUUGUAUCGCAAAUUUGAAAGUGACUUUUCAUGAGAUAAGGUUUAUACCCAGUGUAAUAUAUUUGCAUUUUCCCAAGUAGCAAUUUUACGACCUGCAACCAAUUUUGUUCUAAUGGGACGUUAAAUUUAAGGACAAAAUUGGUUCACAGUAAGCGUUAACCAAGGACAACGUCUGUAUUCCUAUGGACCAACGUUGCUGCUAAUAAGUAAUAUAAUCUGAUGACUAACUGACAUCGGGAAUAACGACGUCAAUUAUUAGGAUAAGGUUUGACGUUAAGCUGACGUCGGUCUUAACCUAUCUAUAGUAUAAGUGCAAUUAAGUGGCAUACAUCAACGACUACUCAACGUCGGGAAUUACAACGUAUUUUUUAGGAUAGAUGCCAACGUUCAGAGGACGUUGGUGUUUUAUCGAGUAUGGUAGACGUAUUUUUCGGGAAGACGACAACGACAAUCCAACGUUGAUAAUACCAACGUUAAUUAUUAGGUUAAGGUUUAACAUUAAGCUGACGUCGCGCGUCGGGUAAAACCUCUAUACUACAAUGUAAUUUACUGGAAGACAUUUAACGACUGCUCAACGUCAGGGAUUACAGAGUAUUUAUUAGUAUCGAACCCAACGUUCAGGAGACGUCGGGUGUUUUCUCAGUAGGUAUAUGGCAGAUUGCUGCGUGUACUUGCGGGAAGGUGAGAACGACAAUAAAACGUAGGUAAUUAGGCAAUCCAAACCACGUGACCUCUGGUUGGCACACAAACUAACAAAGAGGUUAUGUUUGUAUCUAUUUUUCAAUGAUUUUUCAUUGUUUAUCGUCGUAUUUUGUCUAUUUUGGAUUCAUUUGGAUGUCGUUUCCUGUUUUUGUGAACUUUAUAAACUUUACCACAAUGCAAACUGAUUAUUUAAGGAAAUUAUUAUUGGAAACUCCAGAUGUUGCGAGAAAGGUAGGCGAAACAAUUUUUAUUUACUGUUCAUUUUGCCCCGAUAUUUUUCAAUAAUGAUGAAUUUUGCAAGCAAUAACAUUAUUUCUUUUAUUGUUUUAGAUAUUUAUUGAAGCUGAAAAUAAUUGGGGAUUUAGAUCCAUACGCAAUUCAGUCAGAAUUGGAUUUUACAGUAAAGUGCAGUCCAUCAAGUUACUAUUAUAGAUAUUUAUACAUAUCGUGGAGUCUCACAGUUGCUACUCUAAGCAGCAGAUGAAAGCAUACAAAAGCCUUCAGGCACAUAAAUAUUUUACAGCUGGAUUUGUUUUGAAUGGAGUAAAAAUUGUUAAUGAUUUCCAUAUUAUUGUUGGAAAGGUGAAGCAUUUCCAAAAAUCUAAUGCUAAACGACUAAAUGCUUGGGUGGGGUGAUAGCCAGUUCUGAUGACAUAGCAAAUGCACAUUGUAUGCGUAUAGCCGGUAAUAGUGAAGUCUGCAGCCAUAUUGCAGCAAUCCUAUUUUUAGCUGAGUAUGCCCAGGGCAAGACAGACGAAGAAGAAGCCAAUGCAUGUACAUAUGUUACAGCUACAUGGUUUGGAGAUAGCAACAUAUGCAUUCUCUGAUGAAAAACUAAUGAGUUUUGAAACUGUUCGGUCAGAGUGCUUGUUGCGCUCACUAAACGAACUGAAAUAUAAGAUGGCUUUGGCAUUGUGUUGCAGCGAUAUGAAAAUGGUUAUUCAUUUUUAAUUAUAAUGUACUUCUUCAUCAUGAGUAAUUAUGUAUUGGUCUUUUAAAUGUGUAUUUAUUUUUGUAAUUAGUAUCAACUUGUAAUGAUAAUAUACAUUUAUCGUUUAAGGUAUGACUGUGUUUUGACUCUAAAAUAAAUGUUUUAAAAAUCGAA